AUAUUGAGAGAUAAGUCUGUUAGACAGAGAGACUUGAUGGGCUUGGCAGAUGAUCUCGGUAGAUCAAACAAGAAAUAUUGAAGAGGGUGGCUCGUAUGGGCUAAUGCUCAAAAUAGUAUAGUUAAAGUUUAAGGGGGAGCUUGGUGUAUUGAAGAGGGUGGCUCAUAUAGGCUAAUGCUGAGUAUGGUUAAAGUUCAAGGGGG
rnacentral:lncRNA from 1 species